UAGGGUAGACUAGGAGCAGAAGAGGAGAGGCGCUUCGGUUUCGGUUUGGGAUCUUUCGAUGGGUGGGAUCGAGACGGCAGCGGCUCUAGAGCGUAGAGCGAGGGUACCGCCGCGGGUUCGGGUAGACCCAGGCGGUCCGGCUCCUCCGGUUCGAGUUCAGGCUCCGGCUGUGGCGGCGGCGGCGGUUCCGGCGGAAGCUGCGGUGGAAGUCCCGGGAGAGGCGCUGGCGGGUGCGGCUGGUCAGGGGGGUCCUGCGGCUGGGCCUCGCGGUGCUGUCCGGGAGGAGGGGGCGGCUCGGGCGGAAGGCGGGGCUGGGGCUUAGGCUGAGGCUGCUGCUGCUGGCGGGGGCGCGGGGAGGGCCGGGGCAGCUGGGGAGGUUCAGGAGGCGGCGCCCGGGUCCGUAGCGGCCGCCGAGGCGCCCGCGCGGGCGGUGGAAGUGGCAGCAGCCCUUCCUGGCGCUGCCCGCAUCCCAGAGGCAUCCGCCGCGGGCGCAGGCGCAAGCGUAGACGGGGCGCCGCCCGCAGCCACCGCUGCUGGAUCUACCGCCGCAGUCCCUGUUGCCGCUGCCUAGGAUGCGGCAGUGGAUGCGUCAGGGGUUCGCGCCGUUGAUGUACCAGGUGUAGCUGGAGCUGCCGCGAGGGUAGUACCCCUCGGGGAAGGGACAGAAGAAGUCGCGACGGUGGCGGCGGAGGCGGCGCCGUCGGAAGGGGUGGUGGAGCAGGCGAAUGGGACGGCGGAGCAGGCGCAUGGGGUUAUACGAGUUGGUCUGGUACGGGUUGUACGGUUUGAUGCGGCCGAGGUACGGGCCAAGGAAGGGCCCGAACGAGCCGGAGUAGGGACCACGGAGGAGACCGCGAAGACCACCACAGCAGGACGGUCCGCAACCAAGGUGCAACCCACUCUAUACGGCCCUCGUGUAGUUACCCUUCACGUGGUUCCCUUGCCUGACGUUCAAGUCGGUGGGCGGUGUCGUCGACGAGUACAGACAGUACCGACGGUGAUGCAGGUACCCACGCGAGUCGGUACGAGGGUACCGCGGGAGGCGCCGUCGGUACCGUCGGCGAGUCCGAUAGUACCGACGCGUCCGCGAAGUCCGUGUACGACGAUUCUACGUUCGACUAAGGUUUCGACGUCUCGUCCGAAGUAGUCCAUACUGCCUUCGGCUCUUUCGACUCUGAGACUUCUUUUAACAAGUCUAAUCGUUGGACUCGGGUUAAGAAUGCCGCCUCUGGUAAUUCGUCGAUAAACCCAUGACACCGUUUCAACAACUAACAUGAUAGUGUCUGAGCUUUGUAUAACGAAUACACCUCAUAAGGUUUGGUCUUCUUCGUUGGCGACGUAACCGGGAGUCAUUGCACCUACAACCACCAGCGGGGAACUUACAACUCUACCGAUUUAGAGAAGGAGUUUUUUGAUCAUAACGUUUAUCGUUAAAUGGAUACUACUACGUCGUUCGACAAGUCUACGUUGUCGACGUUAAGGUCGUCAGUGACUACUACGUCUGCAGUUAUCGGCGAGUCGUCCGGCGACAUGCACGUCGGUGGUACUUUUUACGAUGACUACGUCGUCGACGUGCCCGACGACUCUAUUCGUCCUUCAACUUUCGUCUCCCGAAACCACCCCUUUCACGCCUUCUUUUCCUACGGUUUCUCUUCAGUUCUAGCGGUAGCGGGGGAAGAGCAUUUAGGUUCAGAGCCAGUUCUAGUGGAUAGUUCAUGGCAGCCUCAUCCGCCCUAGCGAGAAUGAGAGGCGGUCAAUCUGCGAGGGCCCUAGUGGCUAGUGCUAGAGGCAGCUCUAGAGUGGUGAGUUUCAUACCGUCACUGGCUAGUAUAUCCCUACUAUCCCUGUUUAUAUCGUCCAGACCCUCUUCUCUCUCACUGUCCAGAGCACUAGUAAUGAGUAGAUCAAGUUCCUCCUUGUCCUCGUCUUCAUAUUCGGGCUCCAGAUUCUUCGGUAGUUCUCGACUAAGAGCCAGUGGCUUCGCCGUUUCCCUUCUUUCAAAUUCGGGUAGUUUUAGUUCUUCCAGUCGAGCACGACCAAGUUCCAGUGGUGCUGUAGUAUUUCCUUCGUUCAGUAGUGGUUGUGCACUAGUCGCAAGAAGAGCAGCAUCGUCCGUAAGUUCUAGGUCUAGAGUUCUCUCUUUCGUAGCAUUGUCACUAUUCUUCCUACAGUUUUUUAGACUCCACGUCCUACUGUUUUUUUCUAGACUAUCUCCAUGAUCUCCACCGUUUCUACUUUCCGGACAUUUCCUGCGUCACCUAUUCUUACGUCUAUGAAGACAACAACGAGUAUUUUCCUCAAGUAGACAUAGACUUCUACUUAACGACCUAUAACUGUUACCGUUAGUGUUCUUUAGAUCUGUACUACGACGACGACGGCACCUCAUACUGUUCUCCUUCUUACUUCUGUCAUAACUCCUACACCUAAGAGGUUCCAGUUUUAGACUCUUCUCUUCGAACCCUCUCCUACCACUAUUAUAAGUCUUUGUACUGUGUUCAUCCUCAUGAUUCUACUUCUGUCUACCGUUCUUCAUACUGUUUCUGCUAAGAAGAGCGUUCCUGUCUUUUAUGUCUCUUCUACUUAGUUCUGUAAGGUCUCUAUUUUCAAGCGCAGUAAGUAGAAGUGCCAGGGUAUCUUCAAGUUCCGUAAGACCCCUAUUUAUAGUAUCCCUACCAUGACUGGUCGUACUCAGCUUCUUUAGUCUUCUCCCGUGAGCUCGAUCCUUUAUGUUAAGGGAACUACUAGGGAACAGAAGUCUAUUUUUCUUGGAAGUAUUUCCCUCCAGAGGACCAAGUCUGAGACUACCGAAGUUCGUACUGUGACUUCAAUCCGACGCUUUACGAAGUAAUCUUCCUCGACUAGACCAGUAGGUCCUUCUGGUCGUUAAAGGACUACUUUGACCAUGUCUAUUUACGAGUCGUCUACGAGAUAACGGACGUAGUUUCGUCUCCCGGCUCCUUCUAUACACGAGAUGACACAGGCUGUAAUUACCCGUUGUACCUGAACUUCCUCUACCGCGAAAUCCCCCGUGGCUUCUCAGACGGUACACUAUAAUUGGUGUCACAAAUGGACGGUGUAGCAAGUCAACCGACUAACGUCUCCGAUGAGUAUGUUACCUACGUAACGACUUGACCACAAACAAUAGAGGAGAGACUAAAUCCUCAAAAUAAACGUCCUAUACUUCUAGAAAACCUCUCGAAGUCACGGUUGGUCUCACAAGUAGACUAGAUAUUUUUACGAACACUUCUCAACCUCGACUAAGACGCCACACUUAACUUCUAAGUUCCCUCACGCGUGAAUAGGUAUGAGUUCAUUUCAGGUAAUACUUUCUAAUUUGUUGAACAGAGAUCCGAUACGAUGUAAAGUCAACCGUACGAAACCGACCACGUUACCAGACUCUACAAAUAGAUGUAUGACACUUGUAUAAAACUAACUCAAACGUAAUACACGACACAAAAACGCAUACUAAGAGAGUACACGUAGAAAAUAGUCAUUACUAGACUACUAAGUUUUUCAAGUCGUCGAAUUAACUAGGCAUACAGUUCAAGUCAUCAACAAAUCAGGAAGCCUACUUACAUCUGUUAACACGACAUCUUAAAUAAACAAUAAAACACACGAAGAGUUAAGAGUGGGACGGAUUUUAUUUACAGAACUCAAACACGGUACCGUAAGUACUAAAAAGGAAAAAAGGAAAGGAAAAAGGAAAAGGAAAAGGGGGAAAGGACUCACUGUCCCCGAGCGAACUCUUCCGUCACAGACUGACUACACUCCGUUAACAACUAUUUCAGCCUUGUAAAUGAGGUCCCACAAGGGAACUAUCAAGGUCUCUAUUCGUCGUACGGAAGUUUAUAAUAAUAAGGAACAGAAGAAAAACGAGAACGUGUACAAACAAGCAAAGCCUUCUUCGUGGACAGGAGACGUUUCUCAUUGAAACGAUCAAUGACGAGUGGACGAUACUGACCACGACACCAACCUUUUUGUACACGUCCAAAGAACUUUCGACCAACGGCAACCUUGAACCUUGUACAAACCCUCCCCUGUCCUGUACGAUUGAAAUUUUCGACGAAACGCACAUCUUCUCCUACCGAUGUCAUGUUACCUGUAUCGUUCGAACAAGGUCCCUAGGCCUAGAAAUAUUCAUGACAUGCACGAUCUAGUAAAAAGAUCAGAGCGGGACAGUGACCUACUAACUCAUCGCAGAUCGUCAACUGUCUGACUCGGUUGAUUUGUCAUAACCGCUCAGUGACUAUUACACCAACGAACCUAGAUAGCUUACUUAGAGAACUGUAAACCAUAACCCAAACCCAAAACCCAACUACAUACUUAAUAUACCCUCCGAAUCAAGAUUCUUUAUGGUCACAAUUGACAGAUCCCUCUUCAUCCACUGUUCAUAGUAGUACGUACGUGUCCGAUAAACCGGACGUGGAUGUUUAACGAGUUAUAAAUCCAGGCCUUCAUGAAUAAGUCCAGGUCUUUAGGUCGGAAAUUACACAACAUACAAGAAGGCGAAGUUGGAUAAGAUUUAAGCCACAAACAAAAAUGUUAGAACUUGCUCAAUAUCCACACGAUCGUAAACAUAGACUUGUUCAGAAUCCGGGAUAAGGCGUUGGGAGGCGAGGAAGUCUCGCCUCGCCUCGCGCACCUCACCGGGAAGUCGCUUUAAACUUGACCUACGACGAGGCGAGGUCGCACCUCACCUGGAAGUCGCUUUAAACUUGACCUAUGACCAGGCGAGGUAUCACCUCAACCUCGCCCCUCUCUCACGCUUGUCCGAGAGUCAUUA
rnacentral:rRNA from 1 species